rnacentral:lncRNA from 10 species
CUUGAUUCUGAUGGAAGGAGGCAAAGCUGAGACUUUAGAGAAUCAGAGGAAACAACAUAGGAUAGCUCUGUUCAGCUACUCCAAUGCCUCGGAGCAGUAGAGGCAGCAGUGAUUUUAAAGGUGUGGGAAGAGGUGCUGGCACCUACAUUAAAGGCAGUAGAAAUCAGAAACUUACAAGCCUCACCUAGGCUGGGAGAGAAAUCCUAUUUGGGUUUCCUUUGACAGGAAUCAUUAUUAUUGGUGGUAGAUUCUACCUGCCCCAAGGCACCCUUUUUGGGUGCUGGAAAAGGUACAGAAGUGCUGAGGGGCUGUCAGGAAAUGGACUGGUGGCCCAGACUGAGCCAGGUCAACUCUACUCAACAUUCAGCUCCAUCUCCACUUGGCUCCAAGCCCUAAAGCAACUUCAGGGAAGGAAUGUGCUGCCAAGCUCCUUCAGGUGGGAGGAUAAUCUGGUCCCUGAAACCCUAUCGUGGUCAGAAGCAGAAGUCCUGGCUUAAUAGCCUUAACACAGCAAUUUUAUAUUUCUUACUCAAUGGAAGAGAAUUUCAUUACAGCGUUUCAGUAAUUCAAGUGCGUAUUCAUGUCCUGAACAGAACAUAUGCACACUUCAAUACCAAAUUCUGACUUCUUAUUGUUUGUUGAUGAAUCUUAUAUUUUUUAAAAAAAGGGACAAAUCAGGCUGCUUAUAUAAUGUCAACAAAUGUCUAUUAAGGAAUUUAAUUCCUUACCAGGACCCAAAUUGUUUCAAUGACUAAACUGUGGCCUUCGUAAGGCAUGAAAAAUUG